rnacentral:rRNA from 1 species
UUAACGACGGAUGUCUUGGUUCUUGCAGCGAUGAAGGCCGCAGCAAAAUGCGAUAAGCAAUGAAAAUUGCAAUUACUGUGUAUCAUCAGAAUGCUGAAUAUAAACUAUACC